rnacentral:rRNA from 1 species
AUUGAACGCUAGCGGCAUGCCUUACACAUGCAAGUCGAACGGCAGCGCGGGGGCAACCCUGGCGGCGAGCGGCGGACGGGUGAGUAAGGCAUCGGAAUCUGCCCUGAUGUGGGGGGAUAACGUAGGGAAACUUACGCUAAUACCGCAUACGACCGAGAGGUGAAAGCGGGGGACCGAAAGGCCUCGCGCAGCAGGAUGAGCCGAUGUCCGAUUAGCUAGUUGGUGGGGUAAAGGCCUACCAAGGCGACGAUCGGUAGCUGGUCUGAGAGGAUGAUCAGCCACACUGGGACUGAGACACGGCCCAGACUCCUACGGGAGGCAGCAGUGGGGAAUAUUGGACAGUGGGCGAAAGCCUGAUCCAGCAAUGCCGCGUGUGUGAAGAAGGUCUUCGGAUUGUAAAGCACUUUUGGCAGGGACGAUGAUGACGGUACCUGCAGAAUAAGCCCCGGCUAACUUCGUG